UUACGGCUACAUCACGUUGAAACACAGGUUUCCGUACAAUCACCGAAGUUAAGCAACGUCGAGCUCGGUCAGUACCUAGAUGGAUGGCCGCUUAUGAAUACCAGGUGAUGUAAG